AGAGUUUGAUCCUGGCUCAGAACGAACGCUGGCGGCAGGCUUAACACAUGCAAGUCGAACGCAUCCUUCGGGGUGAGUGGCAGACGGGUGAGUAACGCGUGGGAACGUGCCCUUCAGUUCGGAAUAACCCAGGGAAACUUGGGCUAAUACCGGAUACGUGCGAGAGCAGAAAGAUUUAUCGCUGAAGGAUCGGCCCGCGUCUGAUUAGCUGGUUGGUAGGGUAAUGGCCUACCAAGGCGACGAUCAGUAGCUAGUCUGAGAGGAUGAUCAGCCACAUUGGGACUGAGACACGGCCCAAACUCCUACGGGAGGCAGCAGUGGGGAAUAUUGGACAAUGGGCGCAAGCCUGAUCCAGCCAUGCCGCGUGAGUGAUGAAGGCCUUAGGGUUGUAAAGCUCUUUCGUCCGGGACGAUAAUGACGGUACCGGAAGAAGAAGCCCCGGCUAACUUCGUGCCAGCAGCCGCGGUAAUACGAAGGGGGCUAGCGUUGUUCGGAAUCACUGGGCGUAAAGGGCGCGUAGGCGGCUUUGUAAGUCGGGGGUGAAAGCCUGUGGCUCAACCACAGAAUUGCCUUCGAUACUGCAUGGCUUGAGACCGGAAGAGGUAAGUGGAACUGCGAGUGUAGAGGUGAAAUUCGUAGAUAUUCGCAAGAACACCAGUGGCGAAGGCGGCUUACUGGUCCGGUUCUGACGCUGANNNGCGAAAGCGUGGGGAGCAAACAGGAUUAGAUACCCUAGUAGUCC
rnacentral:rRNA from 1 species